rnacentral:lncRNA from 1 species
CGUUGCUUCCACACAAGGUCUCCAUAGCCAUACCACUUUGGUGUACCUCCACCUCAAACCGAGAUUCCUCCACCAAAGCCUUAAACCGGUAUAUCCACUAUGACCUCCACCUUGUAACCGAGUAUUAUCCCACCGCCUCUCCAGGCCGAUGUUGAGUAUUCUUCCACCGCCUCUCCAGGCCGACCUUGUUCUUCACCAUCGCGAUCUCCAUUAGAUUUUUACCUCCGAGGCACCGGAUAACAACACGUCGUGUUUUAUCCAUCAUCCCGAACCUUAAAAUUGCUCUUGCUCCCAUCUUCACUUUCCACAAUUCCAAAUUGUUUCCGGAAAGUCCCUCGAUAACCCAUUUUGAAUCCAUGGUACUUAAUCCAAUUAACCCUUUGCCCCACGGUGGGCGCCAAUUGUUGUGAAUUCGGAUCGAAAACCACACAAAUAAUACUUUUGAUGUGUGGGACAAAUGAAUUGAAGCAACCAAAACAAA